GAUGAACGCUGGCGGCGUGCCUAAUACAUGCAAGUCGAGCGAACAGACGAGGAGCUUGCUCCUCUGACGUUAGCGGCGGACGGGUGAGUAACACGUGGAUAACCUACCUAUAAGACUGGGAUAACUUCGGGAAACCGGAGCUAAUACCGGAUAAUAUAUUUAACCGCAUGGUUCAAUAGUGAAAGACGGUUUUGCUGUCACUUAUAGAUGGAUCCGCGCCGCAUUAGCUAGUUGGUAAGGUAACGGCUUACCAAGGCAACGAUGCGUAGCCGACCUGAGAGGGUGAUCGGCCACACUGGAACUGAGACACGGUCCAGACUCCUACGGGAGGCAGCAGUAGGGAAUCUUCCGCAAUGGGCGAAAGCCUGACGGAGCAACGCCGCGUGAGUGAUGAAGGUCUUCGGAUCGUAAAACUCUGUUAUUAGGGAAGAACAAAUGUGUAAGUAACUAUGCACGUCUUGACGGUACCUAAUCAGAAAGCCACGGCUAACUACGUG
rnacentral:rRNA from 1 species